rnacentral:rRNA from 1 species
AAAUUGAAGAGUUUGAUCAUGGCUCAGAUUGAACGCUGGCGGCAGGCCUAACACAUGCAAGUCGAACGGUAACAGGAAGCAGCUUGCUGCUUUGCUGACGAGUGGCGGACGGGUGAGUAAUGUCUGGGAAACUGCCUGAUGGAGGGGGAUAACUACUGGAAACGGUGGCUAAUACCGCAUAACGUCGCAAGACCAAAGAGGGGGACCUUCGGGCCUCUUGCUAUCAGAUGUGCCCAGAUGGGAUUAGCUUGUUGGUGAGGUAACGGCUCACCAAGGCGACGAUCCCUAGCUGGUCUGAGAGGAUGACCAGCCACACUGGAACUGAGACACGGUCCAGACUCCUACGGGAGGCAGCAGUGGGGAAUAUUGCACAAUGGGCGCAAGCCUGAUGCAGCCAUGCCGCGUGUAUGAAGAAGGCCUUCGGGUUGUAAAGUACUUUCAGCGGGGAGGAAGGUGUUGCGGUUAAUAACC